rnacentral:tRNA from 1 species
GGAAGGGUGGCUGAGUGGUCGAAAGCGCCGCUCUCGAAAAGCGGUAGACCGGCAACGGUCUCGCGAGUUCGAAUCUCGCCCCUUCCG